AACGAACGCUGGCGGCAUGCCUAACACAUGCAAGUCGAACGAUCCCUUCGGGGAUAGUGGCGCACGGGUGCGUAACGCGUGGGAACCUGCCCUUAGGUUCGGAAUAACUCAGAGAAAUUUGAGCUAAUACCGGAUAAUGUCUUCGGACCAAAGAUUUAUCGCCUUUGGAUGGGCCCGCGUUGGAUUAGCUAGUUGGUGGGGUAAAGGCCUACCAAGGCGACGAUCCAUAGCUGGUCUGAGAGGAUGAUCAGCCACACUGGGACUGAGACACGGCCCAGACUCCUACGGGAGGCAGCAGUGGGGAAUAUUGGAAAAUGGGCGAAAGCCUGAUCCAGCAAUGCCGCGUGAGUGAUGAAGGCCUUAGGGUUGUAAAGCUCUUUUACCCGGGAUGAUAAUGACAGUACCGGGAGAAUAAGCCCCGGCUAACUCCGUG
rnacentral:rRNA from 1 species